rfam:Volvox carteri f. nagariensis unplaced genomic scaffold VOLCAscaffold_1, whole genome shotgun sequence.
AAAUCGGUGUUUUUUAACACCACCAUGUUGAAUUACAAGAAUCGA